rnacentral:rRNA from 1 species
UGCCAGCAGCCGCGGUAAUACGGGGGGGGUAAGCGUUGUUCGGAAUUACUGGGCGUAAAGGGCUCGUAGGCGGCCAACUAAGUCAUACGUGAAAUCCCUCAGCUUAACUGGGGAACUGCGUGUGAUACUGGAUGGCUUGGAUUUGGGAGAGGGAUGCGGAAUUCCAGGUGUAGCGGUGAAAUGCGUAGAUAUCUGGAGGAACACCGGUGGCGAAGGCGGCAUCCUGGACCAAUAUUGACGCUGAGGAGCGAAAGCCAGGGGAGCAAGCGGGAUUAGAUACCCCGGUAGUCCUGGCCCUAAACGAUGAAUGCUUGGUGUAGCGGGUAUCGAUCCCUGCUGUGCCGAAGCUAACGCAUUAAGCAUUCCGCCUGGGGAGUACGGCCGCAAGGCUAAACUCAAAGAAUACGG